ACAAAAAGUAUUUCGAUACUUCUAUCUUGUGUGCACUGUCUAUCGUAUUCGGUGGUCGUCCCUCGGGGCUCCACCGACAGGCUUGUGUCUUCGGACGCCUGCCUACGAACAACCUUAUGUUAUAAAUAAUGACUGAAUUUCUUUCACUGUGUGAAAAUACAAUGAAAAAA
rnacentral:misc_RNA from 1 species